CUCCAGUCUGCUAUGGCAGUCUUAAAUAACAUAAUCAUGGGAAUGAAUAUCUAUCAUCUUUUCUGUAGAACCAUAAUGGUCCUGAGAGUAAUCUAAAAUCCCAUUCCUAUGUCCUGUCCAUAUUCAAGGGGAGGGGAUUAUACAGGAUGCGUAAACCAGGGUGUGGGAAGCUUGAGGACCACAGAAUCCUGCCUGCCGCACUUCACUGACUUUCCACAGACAUGGACACAUGGCAGUUGGCUUCCUCCAGAGUAAGCAAUCCAAGAGCAAGCUAGGAGGAAGCUGCAAUGUCGCUUAUGACCUCGUCUUCAAGUCAUGUGCUGUUAUUUUGGCUGCAGCCUCUUCUUUAGAGAGGUUUCUAAAGCAACAAGAAGCUGAAGUUAAUCUCAGAGAGUAUGGUCUUCUCAAGAGUCUACCCAGCUUUUACCUGGUAUUAGCAUUGUCUAUUAAAAAAUAAGUUCAAGUUGUUAAGGAUGUUUAGGUCUCUGCAGGUCAGCCAAAAUUCAAGAGUAGGAAUCCAGGCACUCCUUAGGGUACCACCAUCCCAGGAAUACUAAAAAGCCACAGUGGCACAAAAAUAUCACAGAAAUAUAAUGGACGGAAGAAGAAAGUUGGAUGAAACAUCCUGAAAAUCUUACUGGAGGUGGGAGUAGAAAAGUCAUGAUCGUGUGGUGAUGCCCAGUUUUUAGACAAUUUACUAUUUGACAAAACUGUACCGAACAGUAUAUCUUCAUUAUCAUAAUCCUUAUUAGAAAGAAACUUCUCUUGCUAUAUGCAAAUUCAAACAGAAAGGCAAAUCAAGACAAGUAUCUUGCCCACAUUUACUUGACUAGGAAGUAGCAGAAUUAAGGUUCCUUUCAAGGAAGACCGAUUCAAAACUUAUACUUUUAAACAUGGUGUUAAUAUCAUCUGAUAACUGAACUGCUACUAAGGAGUGUAGUCCAGGAGAAUCCUGAACUUCUGAUUGAGUGGAAUACCUAAGCUGUGCCACAGCCUUCGAUAGAACUAACUUUUGCUGUUCUCUGACAUGACACCUAGCCUCACCCUUAAAGAAAUGGAAAGAAUAAAGAAUAUCUGUUCAGGACAAGAUUUUUUAUGAGUCCGUGUUCUUUCCUGUAAAAAAAAUUACAUAAUAAACAAAUCUCCAAAUCU